rnacentral:lncRNA from 1 species
GGUCUCUAUCACUUAUGGUUUACCAGUUAGAAAUGCAUAUUCUUAUAUCAAACAUAAAAUGGGAGAUAACUCUCAUAUAGAAUCUAUAUACGGCUUCGGUCAAAAUAAAACAAGACAUCUUGAGGAUAUAACGAGCAAUUUGGAAAAAUAAAUUUGUCUGUUUCUUAUACGGUUGCGAAGCCUUAGAGAUAACAAGGAAAACAGUGUUCGGGGAGAUAACUCUUAUUUGGGAAAGUAUUCGUUAAGCAGAGUUGGUUUCAAAAGCAUAUAAACUGUUCGAUAUCAUAUUCUAAAAAUCUAAGCGACAUCUUGUGAAACCAAAAACAGCAAAGAAAAAAAAUUAGGCGGAAGAAGAAAAAAAAAAAUUAAAAACCAAUUGUUCAGAGAACCAUUGAUGGUCUUUCCACCACUUACAACAUAUUUUGAUGUGGAAAUAUUAAAAAUUCAGUUGAUAUGUCAGUUCCUAUGACUUGAUGAUGUCUAAUUAUGAAUUUGGAGCAAAGGUCAAAAUCUAGAACGUCCAAUUUACCUAUGACUUUGACCUCAAUUUCAAGGUCAUAGACUAAGGAUCUCAAAUCAAAAGACACUAGUUCCUUAAUAUGUAUGGUUCAUGAGUAAUAUCACUUUACACAUAAUUUUAGAUAUGAGGUGCGAAAACUCCCAUUUGUUGUCUACACACCC